UUCAUAACCCUUUGUUGUCCGACUCUGUUGCCUCCGGGGCGACCCUGCCUUCGGGCGGGGGCUCCGGGUGGACACUUCAAACUCUUGCGUAACUUUGCAGUCUGAGUAAACUUAAUUAAUAAAUUAAAACUUUUAACAACGGAUCUCUUGGUUCUGGCAUCGAUGAAGAACGCAGCGAAAUGCGAUAAGUAAUGUGAAUUGCAGAAUUCAGUGAAUCAUCGAAUCUUUGAACGCACAUUGCGCCCCCUGGUAUUCCGGGGGGCAUGCCUGUUCGAGCGUCAUUUCACCACUCAAGCCUCGCUUGGUAUUGGGCAACGCGGUCCGCCGCGUGCCUCAAAUCGACCGGCUGGGUCUUCUGUCCCCUAAGCGUUGUGGAAACUAUUCGCUAAAGGGUGUUCGGGAGGCUACGCCGUAAAACAACCCCAUUUCUAAGGUUGACCUCGGAUCAGGUAGGGAUACCCGCUGAACUUAAGCAUAUC
rnacentral:rRNA from 1 species